GAGGAAUAUUGGUCAAUGGGCGAUAGCCUGAACCAGCCAAGUCGCGUGAAGGAAGACGGCCUUACAGGUUGUAAACUUCUUUUAUCGGAGAGUAAAGUGCACUACGUGUAGUGUAUUGCAAGUAUCCGAAGAAAAAGCAUCGGCUAACUCCGUGCCAGCAGCCGCGGUAAUACGGAGGAUGCAAGCGUUAUCCGGAUUUAUUGGGUUUAAAGGGUGCGUAGGCGGAAUUCCAAGUCAGCGGUGAAAUCUCCAUGCUCAACAUGGACACUGCCGUUGAAACUGGCGUUCUAGAGUGUAAAUGAGGUAGGCGGAAUGCGUGGUGUAGCGGUGAAAUGCAUAGAUAUCACGCAGAACUCCGAUUGCGAAGGCAGCCUGCUGGGAUACAACUGACGCUGAGGCACGAAAGCGUGGGUAUCGAAC
rnacentral:rRNA from 1 species